GACGAACGCUGGCGGCGUGCUUAACACAUGCAAGUCGAGCGAUGAAGCCCAGCUUGCUGUGUGGUUUAGUUGCGGACGGGUGAGUAACACAUGAGCAACGUGCCCGCGUCUCUGGCAUAACUACCUUCAACGGUGGCUAGUACUGGCUAUGUGCCAUUUAGGCAUCUCCUCUUGUUGGGAAGAUGUUUCUGUUUCGGAUCGGCUUACGGCCUAUCAGCUUGUUGGUGGUGUAAGGUCCUGCCAAGGCGACGACGGGUAGCCGGCCUGAGAGGGUGACCGGGCACCAUGGGCCUGAGACACGGACCAGACUCCUACGGGAGGCAGCAGUGGGGAAUAUUGCACAAUGGGCGCAAGCCUGAUGCAGCAACGCCGCGUGAGGGAUGACGGCCUUCGGGUUGUAAACCUCUUUUAGUAGGGAAGAAGCGCAAGUGACGGUACCUGCAGAAAAAGCACCGGCUAACUACGUG
rnacentral:rRNA from 1 species